rnacentral:rRNA from 1 species
GGCGACCGGCGCACGGGUGAGUAACGCGUAUGCAACUUACCUAUCAGAGGGGGAUAACCCGGCGAAAGUCGGACUAAUACCGCAUGAAGCAGGGGCCCCGCAUGGGGAUAUUUGCUAAAGAUUCAUCGCUGAUAGAUAGGCAUGCGUUCCAUUAGGCAGUUGGCGGGGUAACGGCCCACCAAACCGACGAUGGAUAGGGGUUCUGAGAGGAAGGUCCCCCACAUUGGUACUGAGACACGGACCAAACUCCUACGGGAGGCAGCAGUGAGGAAUAUUGGUCAAUGGCCGAGAGGCUGAACCAGCCAAGUCGCGUGAGGGAUGAAGGUUCUAUGGAUCGUAAACCUCUUUUAUAAGGGAAUAAAGUGCGGGACGUGUCCCGUUUUGUAUGUACCUUAUGAAUAAGGAUCGGCUAACUCCGUGCCAGCAGCCGCGGUAAUACGGAGGAUCCGAGCGUUAUCCGGAUUUAUUGGGUUUAAAGGGUGCGUAGGCGGCCUUUUAAGUCAGCGGUGAAAGUCUGUGGCUCAACCAUAGAAUUGCCGUUGAAACUGGGGGGCUUGAGUAUGUUUGAGGCAGGCGGAAUGCGUGGUGUAGCGGUGAAAUGCAUAGAUAUCACGCAGAACCCCGAUUGCGAAGGCAGCCUGCCAAGCCAUGACUGACGCUGAUGCACGAAAGCGUGGGGAUCAAACAGGAUUAGAUACCCUGGUAGUCCACGCAGUAAACGAUGAUCACUAGCUGUUUGCGAUACACUGUAAGCGGCACAGCGAAAGCGUUAAGUGAUCCACCUGGGGAGUACGCCGGCAACGGUGAAACUCAAAGGAAUUGACGGGGGCCCGCACAAGCGGAGGAACAUGUGGUUUAAUUCGAUGAUACGCGAGGAACCUUACCCGGGUUUGAACGCAUUCGGACCGAGGUGGAAACACCUUUUCUAGCAAUAGCCGUUUGCGAGGUGCUGCAUGGUUGUCGUCAGCUCGUGCCGUGAGGUGUCGGCUUAAGUGCCAUAACGAGCGCAACCCUUGCCACUAGUUACUAACAGGUAAAGCUGAGGACUCUGGUGGGACUGCCAGCGUAAGCUGCGAGGAAGGCGGGGAUGACGUCAAAUCAGCACGGCCCUUACAUCCGGGGCGACACACGUGUUACAAUGGCGUGGACAAAGGGAGGCCACCU